rnacentral:rRNA from 1 species
UGCAGUCGAACGGUUGUAGCAUACAGCAGUGGCAGACGGGUGAGUAACACGUGGGAACCUUCCUAGGGGUACGGAACAACUCAGGGAAACUUGAGCUAAUACCGUAUACGUCCGUAAGGAGAAAGAUUCAUCGCCCCUAGACGGGCCCGCGUAGGAUUAGGUAGUUGGUGAGGUAACGGCUCACCAAGCCUACGAUCCUUAGCUGAUCUGAGAGGAUGAUCAGCCACACUGGGACUGAGACACGGCCCAGACUCCUACGGGAGGCAGCAGUGGGGAAUCUUGGACAAUGGGCGCAAGCCUGAUCCAGCCAUGCCGCGUGAGUGAAGAAGGCCUUCGGGUUGUAAAGCUCUUUUACCAGGGACGAUAAUGACGGUACCUGGAGAAUAAGCCCCGGCAAACUUCGUGCCAGCAGCCGCGGUAAUACGAAGGGGGCUAGCGUUGUUCGGAAUUACUGGGCGUAAAGCGCGCGUAGGCGGAUUGUUAAGUCAGAGGUGAAAUCCCGGAGCUCAACUUCGGAACUGCCUUUGAUACUGGCAAUCUAGAGUCCGGAAGAGGUUAGUGGAAUUCCCAGUGUAGAGGUGAAAUUCGUAGAUAUUGGGAAGAACACCAGUGGCGAAGGCGGCUAACUGGUCCGGUACUGACGCUGAGGUGCGAAAGCGUGGGGAGCNAACAGGAUUAGAUACCCUGGUAGUCCACGCCGUAAACUAUGGGUGCUAGCCGUUGGGAAGCUUGCUUUUCAGUGGCGCAGCUAACGCAUUAAGCACCCCGC